UACGUAGGGUGCAAGCGUUAAUCGGAAUUACUGGGCGUAAAGCGCGCGUAGGUGGUUCGUUAAGUUGGAUGUGAAAGCCCCGGGCUCAACCUGGGAACUGCAUCCAAAACUGGCGAGCUAGAGUACGGUAGAGGGUGGUGGAAUUUCCUGUGUAGCGGUGAAAUGCGUAGAUAUAGGAAGGAACACCAGUGGCGAAGGCGACCACCUGGACUGAUACUGACACUGAGGUGCGAAAGCGUGGGGAGCAAACAGG
rnacentral:rRNA from 1 species